UACGUAGGGUGCGAGCGUUGUCCGGAUUUAUUGGGCGUAAAGAGCUCGUAGGCGGUCUGUCGCGUCGGCUGUGAAAACCCGAGGCUCAACCUCGGGCCUGCAGUCGAUACGGGCAAACUAGAGUGUUGCAGGGGAGACUGGAAUUCCUGGUGUAGCGGUGAAAUGCGCAGAUAUCAGGAGGAACACCGGUGGCGAAGGCGGGUCUCUGGGCAGUAACUGACGCUGGAGGAGCGAAAAGCGUGGGGAGCGAACAGG
rnacentral:rRNA from 1 species